rnacentral:rRNA from 1 species
CAGCCGCGGUAAUACGGAGGGGGUUAGCGUUGUUCGGAAUUACUGGGCGUAAAGCGCGCGUAGGCGGGUUGUUAAGUUAGAGGUGAAAUCCCGGGGCUCAACCCCGGAACUGCCUUUAAUACUGGCAACCUAGAGUUCGAGAGAGGUGAGUGGAAUUCCGAGUGUAGAGGUGAAAUUCGUAGAUAUUCGGAGGAACACCAGUGGCGAAGGCGGCUCACUGGCUCGAUACUGACGCUGAGGUGCGAAAGUGUGGGGAGCAAACAGGAUUAGAUACCCUGGUAGUCCACACCGUAAACGAUGAAUGCCAGUCGUCGGGUAGCAUGCUAUUCGGUGACACACCUAACGGAUUAAGCAUUCCGCCUGGGGAGUACGGUCGCAAGAUUAAAACUCAAAGGAAUUGACGGGG